GGCUCUGUGGCACAAUGGAUAGCGCAUUGGACUUCUAGGCUGUGAGCUGAGCCAUUCAAAGGUUGUGGGUUUGAGUCCUACCAGAGUUG
rnacentral:tRNA from 1 species